GACGAACCGUGCAAACGUUGUUCGGAAUCACUGGGCUUAAAGGGCGCGUAGGCGGGCCAGACAGUCUGUGGUGAAAGCCUCCAGCUUAACUGGAGAAGUGCCGUGGAUACUGCUGGCCUCGAGGAGGGUAGGGGCAUCUGGAACGGUCGGUGGAGCGGUGAAAUGCGUUGAUAUCGACCGGAACUCUGGUGGCGAAGGCGAGGUGCUGGACCCUUUCUGACGCUGAGGCGCGAAAGCCAGGGGAGCAAACGGG
rnacentral:rRNA from 1 species